AUUGAACGCUGGCGGCAGGCCUAACACAUGCAAGUCGAGCGGAUGAAGGGAGCUUGCUCCUGGAUUCAGCGGCGGACGGGUGAGUAAUGCCUAUGAAUCUGCCUGGUAGUGGGGGAUAACGUCCGGAAACGGGCGCUGAUACCGCAUACGUCCUGCGGGAGAAAGUGGGGGAUCUUCGGACCUCACGCUAUCAGAUGAGCCUAGGUCGGAUUAGCUAGUUGGUGGGGUAAAGGCCUACCAAGGCGACGAUCCGUAACUGGUCUGAGAGGAUGAUCAGUCACACUGGAACUGAGACACGGUCCAGACUCCUACGGGAGGCAGCAGUGGGGAAUAUUGGACAAUGGGCGAAAGCCUGAUCCAGCCAUGCCGCGUGUGUGAAGAAGGUCUUCGGAUUGUAAAGCACUUUAAGUUGGGAGGAAGGGCAGUAAGUUAAUACCUUGCUGUUUUGACGUUACCAACAGAAUAAGCACCGGCUAACUUCGUG
rnacentral:rRNA from 1 species